GUGAAAAUGAAAGUUGCUUAUAAAAAAGUAUAGACCAUCUUAAAAUUUUCAGUUACACUGAACACAAUGUUGGCAUAAGGUACGUAGAUUCUGAAGACAGAUUUACCAUAUAAACAACUCAUAAAAAAGAAGGCUGAUGACUGGGAAAGAUCAUUUUAGAGAGUAUGUUAGAGUUUACAGUCAUAAGAAGAUAAAACUUAAAUUAUUGCAAAGUUAAAUAAAAGAAGAAUUUGACAGUAGCCCUAGACAUAGGCCACUUAGUCUGGGGUACUGGUUCUUCUGUGCACUCUGCAUUUCAUCUUCUAUGUCUGGAGUUGCAUCCUUAGGUAUCAGCUAGGGCUCUGUAUCUUUGUAGUACACAGAGAAGAGAUGGGAUCAAUAUUAUUAUAACCCUUUUAAUGUAUUAUCUACUUGUACAUUAUUCUGUUUAGUAUUAAACCAUAUUCAGUAGGCAUUAUCCCAAUUUUAUAGCUCAUAUUGAUAAUGCUAGGAGAGGUCAAGCCAUCCACAACUUCUCAAGAAUGUUCAAUGAACUUGAACUUGCUGGUGUCUUAAUUUAGCAUCCAUAUUUCUACUAACCUACCCAUUUGCCUCUAUAAGGGCAUGUCUCCCGGAACUAUGGGGACUGCCCAAGCAAAUACUGAUGAUCCAGCUGCUGUUACGUGAGAACUCAUGACACCAGCAUUUCCCUGAACAAUAAUAUUCCAGCCAGAUUUACAUUUCUGGUACUGUCUCUCUGGAAUGAUGGAAGUUGGUCCAGUCUCCAGAAUAAGGUCAUUUUUUCAGAUUUCCAUUGUGUUUAGCAUUGAUUUUUUCCAUGUUCUCUCUGUCUGUCCAUAGGUCCUGAAAUCACAGCUUACCUCAGUCCUUGGCCUACCUGUCAAAGAAUCAUCACUUGAAAGCCCUAACAAUAUGCGCAAAGCAAGUCCAUGGAGCCAUCAGUUUAAUAUGAAGGAAAUAGAGAACACUGCAUACAAGUUGGAUUUUAGUGCAACUUCAAGAACUGUUAGAAGACUUAAAGUUACGUAUGUGACCUGCAUUAUAUUUUUAUUAGAUAGCCCUGCUCUGGGAGUGAUACCUGGACAUCAGCAGAAGACAUUCCAGCUGAUUAAAUGUGCAGCCUAGAUGGUGACCUUCAAUCUUUAAUUAAACUAACACUGGAAUAAAAUUGCCUAUGUUUUAUACA
rnacentral:lncRNA from 13 species